UGAUGAGCUCAAGUUAUUGCUCGUGGUAUCAACGUUGGUAGGACCAGGGAGGCCAGGUGGUGAAGGCCGCCAGCGGCGAGGCAAAGGCUCCAAGUUCAGUUGGAUUUGAGGUCUUGAGAUUUGACAGGAAUCGAAGAAAAGUGAUAGCGAGUUGUAACUAGUUCUUGAUGUGAUUAACGGUAGCUAGGCUGGAGAAAAGUCAAAACAGGAAAGAGAAGGAAUAGGUGGAAACUAGCAAAUUUGGCUGCU
rnacentral:lncRNA from 1 species